rnacentral:rRNA from 1 species
ACGAACGCUGGCGGCGUGCCUAACACAUGCAAGUCGAGCGAUAUGGAUGUUGGAUGGUGAAGGUUUGAGGUUUGAAUUCUUAACGGCGGACGGGUGAGUAACACGUGAGCAACCUACCCUCAGCACGGGGAUAACAGCUCGAAAGGGCUGCUAAUACCCGAUGGGACCACGUCAUUGCAUGGUGAUGUGGUGAAAGGGUGGACGUAAGGUCCAUGCCGGCUGGGGAUGGGCUCGCGGCCCAUCAGCUAGUUGGUGGGGUAACGGCCUACCAAGGCGACGACGGGUAGCCGGCCUGAGAGGGUGACCGGCCACAGUGGGACUGAGACACGGCCCACACUCCUACGGGAGGCAGCAGCGGGGAAUCUUGCGCAAUGGGCGAAAGCCUGACGCAGCGACGCCGCGUGAGGGAAGGAGCCCUUCGGGGUGUAAACCUCUUUGGACGGGGAGAAGUAGGAGAUAGUACCCGUUUAAAAAGCCACGGCUAACUACGUGCCAGCAGCCGCGGUAAUACGUAGGUGGCGAGCGUUGUCCGGAAUUACUGGGCGUAAAGGGUGCGUAGGCGGCCUGGUAAGUUGAGCGUGAAAUUUUUGGGCUCAACCCAAAAGGAGCGUUCAAGACUGCCAGGCUUGAGUGCGGGAGAGGACGGCGGAAUUCCCGGUGUAGCGGUGAAAUGCGUAGAUAUCGGGAGGAACACCAGUGGCGAAAGGCGGCCGUCUGGACCGUAACUGACGCUGAGGCACGAAAGCGUGGGGAGCAAACACGAGUAUGAUACCCUGGUAGUGCACGCUCUAUACGAGAGGUACUAUAUGUAUGGGGGCGAAGCCCUCUUGCCGGCAGCUAGUGCACACAAGUACCCCGCCUGCGGGAGUGACGGUCGCAAGCAUUAAAACUCACUCAAAUUGACGGGGGCCCGCACACGCAAGCGGAGCAUGCAUGUUAAUUAGUUGCAACGCGAAGAACGAUCCCAGGCAGGGACAUCCAUGCCACCCUGUGGUAACAAGGGGGUGGCCUUCGGGGAACGGUGAGACAGGUGGUGCACGCAGGUGGUCAGUUGUUGUCGUGAGAUGUUGUGUUAAGUCCUGCAACGAGCGCAACCCUUGCGCGCAGUCCCCAGCAAUUCGGUUGGGCAGUCUAGACGGGGCACUUGGGUUAGCCAGGAGGAAGGUGGGGAGGGGAUGAAAUCGUCAUGCUCAAUUUGUUAUGGGCUACACACGUGGUACAACGCCCGGUACACAGAGGUGCAAACCCAGGAGGGGGAAGUAAUGUCAAAAACCGGUUCCCAUUAAAACACUAGCAUUUAACUCGCCAACAUGAAGCUGGAGUUCAUGAUAAUCGAAUAUCAGCAAAUCGCGGAUAAGCAGUUCCCGGGCAUUAUACUCCCCGCCCGUCACCCCACGAGAGCUCACAACACCCGAAUCCACUACGCUAACCGACACAGGAGGCAGCUGUUGAAGGUGGGGCUGGUGAUUGGGGUGA